GGGCUGACCUUGGCUGCUGUGGGUCAUUAGUGAUGAGGCCCAGAACCUCAGCUGGGGCAGAACGAGUUCCUGCUACCCAGGGCCGGCCUGUCUGGGGGCUGCCUAGAAGUCGCCCUGUGGUCCUCUACAGUCAUUCCUGUGUGAGGACGAGACACACACUUUCCACUUGCUGGAGAGGAGGGUCUGGGUGGCUUUUUAUUGGUGCAUUCACCCUCUCAGAUACUUCCUGAUCAGUAUGAGCUGGGUAAACAGCCAAUUCAGAUGGCUCAGACUCCCGGAAGAGGAGCGCUUAGCCCAAAUUACUGGUAUUAGCCGUCCGCAUUCAACCUCAUCUUAACCAUGAAAUUUGCACGGUAAAAAAGAGAAUUUGACUUACACAGAAAUGCAACUGUGUCUUCAUCGUUCCACUCUACAGUAAGCUUCAGAGGGCUUUCAUCCAUUCAGCCUUCCUUCUUUCCAUCUUUAAUUGUUUUGAAAUUCCAUUUGGAUGGAAAUAUUUCAAAUAUUUAUUUUUUGUUUUUAUAUAUCUUUUUGCAGUUUUUAUGGUUUUAUUUAAACACAAAACAUGCACAUGAGCCGUCUACUCAUUUUCUUCACUGCGCAGCCUGGCAUUGGGGUUGGUGACUCUGACGGCAGCUGGGCGGCCCUUUCCACGAUGGUUUUGUUUCUUGGAGGAAACACUGUGAGCGAUCUCAGCACAGGGAGAUUUGUUGCACAUCAGCACUUCCAGCUCCUUGACGCUGGGGACCAGGAACUUCCGGAAGCCACUGGGCAGCAUGUGCUUUGUUUUUUGUUGCUCCCAUGAGCCACUGCUCCUGGCCCAAAUAUUUAUCUUUUAAAAUGUAUGCAGAAGUGAAACAUGCUUUCCAAGAGCAGCAACAGGCAGGGUCACCCAGCACCCAGGUGGAUACUUGGGCCGCCAAGGCUUCUGGAAGCCAGGACAAAUGGAAAGAAUAUUGGAACAUGGAAAGGUCUGAAAGGUGGCAAUUUGUCCAAAUCUACAGUUGAAUCAGAAGAGAAGCGGUGGGUCAGGAAGAGGGUGAUUUGAGUUCUGUUUCAUCAGACUCAUCUCUGUUUCUCUUUCCAUCUCUCAGGCGGAGUUAGAACAUUCCAUUUUUUUAUCCAAAAUUAUCUUUUGCUCGGAUUUGGGAACUGACUUAAUACGGAGCUGGGAAUGGAGACACCAAAAACAGAACCAGACAAAGCUGAGGGUUUGUUCUCGCCCCUCCUGGACAGCGUGAGUUGCUCGCUGCUUUCAGGCCCUGUCUGAAGUCAUCCCCAACCCCAC
rnacentral:lncRNA from 1 species